GACGAACGCUGGCGGCGUGCCUAAUACAUGCAAGUUGAGCGAUGAAGCUUGGUGCUUGCCCCAAUUUGAAGAGCAGCGAACGGGUGAGUAACGCGUGGGGAAUCUGCCUUUGAGCGGGGGACAACAUCUGGAAACGAAUGCUAAUACCGCAUAACAACUUUAAACAUAAGUUUUAAGUUUGAAAGAUGCAAUUGCAUCACUCAAAGACGAACCCGCGUUGUAUUAGCUAGUUGGUGAGGUAAAGGCUCACCAAGGCGAUGAUACAUAGCCGACCGGAGAGGGUGGUCGGCCACAUUGGGACUGAGACACGGCCCAAACUCCUACGGGAGGCAGCAGUAGGGAAUCUUCGGCAAUGGACGAAAGUCUGACCGAGAAACGCCGCGGGAGUGAAGAAGGUUUUCGGAUCGUAAAACUCUGUUGGUAGAGAAGAACGUUGGUGAGAGUGGAAAGCUCAGCAAGUGACGGUAACUAACCAGAAAGGGACGGCUAACUACGUG
rnacentral:rRNA from 1 species